AGUCUGUGUCAGCAUCCGGCGGAUUCUGGACGGCCUCCUCGGGCAUCGGUCGAGCCACCGUCGGUUGCCUCCGAAGCUGGUGAGACGGAAGAGUGAGUCCGAAAGGAGUUCUGACCCAGCUUCCAGGCCUUUGGUUGUCUUCAAACACGGGCCCGUUGCUCAGCCCCGCUGUCCUCCAGGGGUGAUGAGGACCCUUUCCCGUAUCUCUGCCCCUUCCCGUUCUGAGGACUUCCGGACGGAGGGUUGGGGAUGCUGAAUCCUCAGUGCCAUUUUCUAGAACAGACUUGGUUUGCCGAAUCUGACAUCUCACCCAAGAAAGAAGAAAUUGAGGGGAAAUCAGAAUUGUUUGCCUCGGAUCGGAUCACCACAGGAGGAAGAUGGGCCUUGGAUAGCGGCCGACCAGUGGGAUUAAAAGGAUGUGCAAGUUGAUGAGACUUUAUGAUUCUUGGUGACCUAUUAUGUCUCGGGAUGAAAGAAAAUUGAGGAAGGGGAGGGGGUGUGGGGAGUGUAUUAGAGCAGAAAUAAAUGAUCUGAUCCCUC